UCGUCACCAAGCAAAAAAAAAAAAAACACAUGGAGGUAAGUUGGCUCGAAAAGGGGACGAAAAACAUCGCUAUUAUACGGUGACAGUGAAGGGUUGUGACAGAGAAUGGAACAUACAGUCAUAGGGAUCCAGAGGCAUUUUGGGAGCUUGAAAAGACUGACGCUGUUUACUGUGUGACACUACUGUAACUGCGGUCACUUAAACCAGUUAGACAGUGAACCAAUCAAAAUGUGGUAUGAAAAUGAUGCAUUACAACUAUGAGUGCCGGAGCAGGGGCAAAAACCUAUAAUUCCUCUCAGUAUGGUGUUUCAGCACAAAUAAG